ACAUCUAUGCGGCACGGAUACGGAUACGCGUAUCAGUAUCCGAAGGAUACGGAUACGCGGAUACGGCUCUUUCCCAAACAACCCGAUACGCGGAUACGUUUUAACUAUUUUUUUAAUAAAUAAUAAUAGUGCAUAAUAAAUUACAAAAUAGAUAUUCUAAUGUUAUUAUACAAAUAAAAAUAAUAAAAUUACAAAAUAUUAAAAGCUAAAGUCAAUUUCUUUUAUGGUCGAUUACACCACAUCGAUUUUUUGGUUAUACUUAUCCAUAUUACCAAUAAUAUUGAUCAAAAUAUUUAUUUAUAGUUACAAAAUUAGACAAAGUUAACGGAGUAAUAAAUUGGCCCAAAAAAUGAGCCCCAAAUAUACUCCUUUUCCAUCGUGACUACUUCUUGCCCAAUUCAUUCUCCCAUUUCCAAUUUUCUUCAAUCCCUAGUUGAGGCAAUAGCGGCGCCUCCCCUUUCUUCUUCUUCUUCUUCUUCUUCUUCUUCUUCUUCUUCAUAUCCGAUUAACUGUCAAUUUUGUUCCCAAAUCGGAUUGAAGUUCGUAAAUUGAAAGUUGCGAAGUUCUUCGACAGAGAUGGACGUUGAUUUCGAAGAGGAGAACCUCAGAUCUUUGCAGAUAGAGGAGGAUGAAGGCCCAAUACGGCCCAGCUCGCGGAUACGCCGAAGGAUACGUAUCGAAUCUGAGGUUUCCCGGCCCAAUACGGCCCAGCUCGCGGAUACGCCCAGGAUACGUAUCGACGGUGUAUCCGUCGCGUAUCGGUAUCGGAUACGUAUCCGAUACGUGAUACGGCAACAGGGUGGCGUAUCGGUGUUAUAUAGGCUGACAUCCCCAACAUAACCCGGAGAGGAUCUUCGACCUAUUUGCUGAAGAUCUAUUCGAGAAAUCAAAUGUUAGAGCAGGCUGUGGAGAUUUUCGAGAAAAUCGAGGACAGUCGUAAAAUAGUUUGACGAAUGCGUUUGUAGCUUUAAUUGAACUGAGUUUUAGGGGAAUAUUAGGAUUAUGAGUGUAUCUCCGAAUUCAGAAACUUUAAAUAUAGUAUUGCUUAAAAUCGCUUGUAGAGAGAGGGAAUUCGGCAAGGCGAGAGGCUGAUUGAUGUUGGCUUAUCCAAUUUUCUUAUUUGUUUUGCUUUUUAAGCAAUGGUAUCACUUGUUUUUUUCCCCUCUAAUCUACUGUGCUUCCUUGUGUUUGACUGUUUUCAGACACUGUUGAUGCAGGGUUAGAUAAUUUCCCCAAAGGGGAGAGCACAAAUUAUGUUGACUCCAGACAGCAUCAACAAUAACAUCUCUUCGGUGAGCACAAGUUUUGUAUCACGGAACUUGAGAUUGAUGCAACAGCAAGUUCAGCCUGAUAUAUCAGCCCCAAAUUAUAAUGUUUAAUUUGGAGUUAUGACUCAUGCUACAUUUCGAAAUUCAAUACACAGCAUCAACAUGGCUUCAGUGAUCAUAAUUUUUGUAUCACGGAACUUUAUAUUGAUGCAACGGGAAGUUCAAAGUGAUGUAUCGGCCCCAACAUUAUUUGGAGUUAUAACUCAUGCUACAUUCAUGAAGAUUUGAGUGAUCAAUCCCGCCAAAAUAACUCCAAGAAACGCUACUUUCCCCCAGUCAGGCGAUGAAGAUACUGAGGCAUCAGCAAUUCCAAUAACUACCAACCCCAUCAGAGCAAGUUCAGUUCACAAGGGAAGAAUAAAAAUACCCUAGCACCAGCUUCAUCCAAUUCUUUGAGGGCAUUUUCUCCAAUCAGGUCGAUUUCGGCAUUGGCUUCCUCAGCAAACUGGGUUAGAUAUUCCGAUCUUUCGUCCAAGA